GCGCCUGUAGCUCAAUUGGACAGAGCAGCGGACUUCUAAUCCGCAGGUUGGAGGUUCGAGUCCUCCCAGGCGUGCCA
rnacentral:tRNA from 1 species